AGAGCCCUAAAUGUUUUUUUGUUUGACAUUCAUGCUUAACAGAAAAUGAUGAAUCCAUUAGCAACUCCUUCCGUUGCCAAAAGAAACAGACUUGCACUUGUAGAUUGCUUUCAUUCUGCGCUAUCAAGCCACUGCAUGUGCUGCUUUCACAAAGCUGACAGUCAUCUAUCAUUUUUAAAUGGGUUUAGAGGGUGGAAGAGAUGUACCCAGGACCUCUGUAGAAGCAGGUACAAGCUACCAAAAGUUCCUACUUUAUUUAUUUUGAGUUUGGAAUGAGCAACUACAAGGAAAGGAAGAAAAUUGUCAAAUAAAAGAAAAUUUUAUAAAUUA
rnacentral:lncRNA from 1 species